rnacentral:rRNA from 1 species
CGAUGCUUCAUUCAAAUAUCUGCCCUAUCAACUUUCGAUGGUAGGGAUAGAGGUCUACCAUGGUUACAACGGGUAACGGGGAAUAAGGGUUCGAUUCCGGAGAGGGAGCCUGAGAAACGGCUACCACAUCCAAGGAAGGCAGCAGGCGCGCAAAUUACCCAAUCCCGACACGGGGAGGUAGUGACAAUAAAUAACAAUAUAGGGCUCUUUUGGGUCUUAUAAUUGGAAUGAGUACAAUUUAAAUCUCUUAACGAGGAACAAUUGGAGGGCAAGUCUGGUGCCAGCAGCCGCGGUAAUUCCAGCUCCAAUAGCGUAUAUUAAAGUUGUUGCAGUUAAAAAGCUCGUAGUUGAACUUCAGAUCUGGUCUGAGUGGUCCGC